AGGCGGGAUCUUUGGGGGCCCUAACAGUGCCAGUUCUAAAACUAAACAACUGUCUCUUUCAGCAUCUGCUGUUCAGAGAGGUCUCUUCUCGCACUGCCCGAGCAACCAAGAUUUUAAUUUGACCGUGGUUAAAUGACCCAUUUGGACCAGGCCAGCCAGGCAGGAUGAGAGAGCGCCAUGGGGGUUCUGAAAGUACCCUCAAGAACCCUGGGAAGUGCCCCCCCCCCCACAUCUGAGGCCACCUUUGACCUUCCAAAUGAUGAAGACUUAUUGCUGAGCUGCAUCUUGAGAGGCACAGACAGAAGACCAGAGACAUCCGCUCCCCAAGUUUUCUCCCCCACUGAACAGGACUGACGUGUAACAAAUAGGAUAUUGUACAAAUGAGAGUGUGAGUUGCAAGGUUAAGUCCUAACACUGCAGUUUCCAACUUGUCCUCUCUUGGAUCACCCAUUCUGGGGGAAGCCUGUUCCCAUGUCCUAAAGACACUCAAGCAGCCCUAUUGGAGAGAGGUCCAUCUGGUGAAAGAACUAAGGCCACCUGCCAACAACCAGUACCAACUUGCGAGAUGGGCAGGUGAACCACCUUGGAAAGUAAAUCUUCCAGUCCCAAUGAAGCAUUCAGGGAACUGCAGCCUCAGUCAACAUCUUGACUACAACCUUAUAUGAGAAAUCCAGAGACAGAAUUAUGCCAGCUAAACCACCACCGAAUUCCUGACCCUCAGAAACUUCCUGAAGUAAUACACAUAUAUUAUUUUAAACCACAAA